UACGUAGGGGGCAAGCGUUGUCCGGAUUCAUUGGGCGUAAAGAGCGUGUAGGCGGCCAGGUAGGUCGGUUGUGAAAACUGGAGGCUCAACCUUCAGAGGUCGACCGAAACCAUCUGGCUAGAGUCCGGGAGAGGAGAGUGGAAUUCCUGGUGUAGCGGUGAAAUGCGCAGAUAUCAGGAAGAACACCCGUGGCGAAAGCGGCUCUCUGGAACGGUACUGACGCUGAGACGCGAAAGCGUGGGGAGUGAACAGG
rnacentral:rRNA from 1 species